rnacentral:rRNA from 1 species
GACGAACGCUGGCGGCGUGCUUAACACAUGCAAGUCGAACGGAGUGGCGAACGGGUGAGUAACACGUGGGUGACCUGCCCUGCACUUCGGGAUAAGCCUGGGAAACGGGGUCUAAUACCGAAUAAAGGGGGAUGGGCUCGCGGCCUAUCAGCUUGUUGGUGGGGUGAUGGCCUACCAAGGCGGUGGCGGGUAGCCGGCCUGAGAGGGUGACCGGCAACAUUGGGACUGGGAUACGGCCCAGACUCCUACGGGAGGGAGCAGUGGGGGAUAUUGCACAAUGGGCGAAAGCCUGAUGCAGCGACGCCGCGUGGGGGAUGAAGGCUUUCGGGUUGUAAACAUCUUUCGCUAUCGACGGGGUAGGUGGAGAAGAAGCACCGGCUAACUACGUGCCAGCAGCCGCGGUAAUUC